ACAAGAUCUCAGUCCUCCCGCUCUUUGUGCUUUUUGACUUUUUCUUUCAUUUUAUGUUCAGCCUAAUCUCCAAGUGCACUUGCAUUUGUCCAAGCAAAAGACCAGGCUCCCCAAAGACCGAUAUCCUAGCCUCUUGGAGAGAGAACACGGCAAAAAGAUGCAAGAAAAGAAGAGAAAAGCUUACAGCACCUGGUAUUCCCAGGCGGUCUCCCAUCCAAGUACUAACCAGGCCCGACCCUGCUUAGCUUCCGAGAUCGGACGAGAUCGGGCGUGUUCAGGGUGGUAUGGCCGUAAGCGAUGACACAGGCUCCAAAUGAGCUAUUUGAACAUGCUCCUGUGUGCUUCUCUCAAUUAGAAUCAGCAUUUCACUUUCAGUGAACAAUGCGGCGCUCAAGAAAACACCCGGAUACGCAGUCAAGCUUAGUUUUACAGCCUAUCUCUGCAGUCCAUCAUGCUCCACUCCUUUGCUCCACUUUAGGACAAGAUCUCAGUCCUCCCGCUCUUUGUGCUUUUUGACUUUUUCUUUCAUUUUAUGUUCAGCCUAAUCUCCAAGUGCACUUGCAUUUGUCCAAGCAAAAGACCAGGCUCCCCAAAGACCGAUAUCCUAGCCUCUUGGAGAGAGAACACGGCAAAAAGAUGCAAGAAAAGAAGAGAAAAGCUUACAGCACCUGGUAUUCCCAGGCGGUCUCCCAUCCAAGUACUAACCAGGCCCGACCCUGCUUAGCUUCCGAGAUCGGACGAGAUCGGGCGUGUUCAGGGUGGUAUGGCCGUAAGCGAUGACACAGGCUCCAAAUGAGCUAUUUGAACAUGCUCCUGUGUGCUUCUCUCAAUUAGAAUCAGCAUUUCACUUUCAGUGAACAAUGCGGCGCUCAAGAAAACACCCGGAUACGCAGUCAAGCUUAGUUUUACAGCCUAUCUCUGCAGUCCAUCAUGCUCCACUCCUUUGCUCCACUUUAGGACAAGAUCUCAGUCCUCCCGCUCUUUGUGCUUUUCGACUUUUUCUUUCAUUUUAUGUUCAGCCUAAUCUCCAAGUGCACUUGCAUUUGUCCAAGCAAAAGACCAGGCUCCCCAAAGACCGAUAUCCUAGCCUCUUGGAGAGAGAACACGGCAAAAAGAUGCAAGAAAAGAAGAGAAAAGCUUACAGCACCUGGUAUUCCCAGGCGGUCUCCCAUCCAAGUACUAACCAGGCCCGACCCUGCUUAGCUUCCGAGAUCGGACGAGAUCGGGCGUGUUCAGGGUGGUAUGGCCGUAAGCGAUGACACAGGCUCCAAAUGAGCUAUUUGAACAUGCUCCUGUGUGCUUCUCUCAAUUAGAAUCAGCAUUUCACUUUCAGUGAACAAUGCGGCGCUCAAGAAAACACCCGGAUACGCAGUCAAGCUUAGUUUUACAGCCUAUCUCUGCAGUCCAUCAUGCUCCACUCCUUUGCUCCACUUUAGGACAAGAUCUCAGUCCUCCCGCUCUUUGUGCUUUUUGACUUUUUCUUUCAUUUUAUGUUCAGCCUAAUCUCCAAGUGCACUUGCAUUUGUCCAAGCAAAAGACCAGGCUCCCCAAAGACCGAUAUCCUAGCCUCUUGGAGAGAGAACACGGCAAAAAGAUGCAAGAAAAGAAGAGAAAAGCUUACAGCACCUGGUAUUCCCAGGCGGUCUCCCAUCCAAGUACUAACCAGGCCCGACCCUGCUUAGCUUCCGAGAUCGGACGAGAUCGGGCGUGUUCAGGGUGGUAUGGCCGUAAGCGAUGACACAGGCUCCAAAUGAGCUAUUUGAACAUGCUCCUGUGUGCUUCUCUCAAUUAGAAUCAGCAUUUCACUUUCAGUGAACAAUGCGGCGCUCAAGAAAACACCCGGAUACGCAGUCAAGCUUAGUUUUACAGCCUAUCUCUGCAGUCCAUCAUGCUCCACUCCUUUGCUCCACUUUAGGACAAGAUCUCAGUCCUCCCGCUCUUUGUGCUUUUCGACUUUUUCUUUCAUUUUAUGUUCAGCCUAAUCUCCAAGUGCACUUGCAUUUGUCCAAGCAAAAGACCAGGCUCCCCAAAGACCGAUAUCCUAGCCUCUUGGAGAGAGAACACGGCAAAAAGAUGCAAGAAAAGAAGAGAAAAGCUUACAGCACCUGGUAUUCCCAGGCGGUCUCCCAUCCAAGUACUAACCAGGCCCGACCCUGCUUAGCUUCCGAGAUCGGACGAGAUCGGGCGUGUUCAGGGUGGUAUGGCCGUAAGCGAUGACACAGGCUCCAAAUGAGCUAUUUGAACAUGCUCCUGUGUGCUUCUCUCAAUUAGAAUCAGCAUUUCACUUUCAGUGAACAAUGCGGCGCUCAAGAAAACACCCGGAUACGCAGUCAAGCUUAGUUUUACAGCCUAUCUCUGCAGUCCAUCAUGCUCCACUCCUUUGCUCCACUUUAGGACAAGAUCUCAGUCCUCCCGCUCUUUGUGCUUUUUGACUUUUUCUUUCAUUUUAUGUUCAGCCUAAUCUCCAAGUGCACUUGCAUUUGUCCAAGCAAAAGACCAGGCUCCCCAAAGACCGAUAUCCUAGCCUCUUGGAGAGAGAACACGGCAAAAAGAUGCAAGAAAAGAAGAGAAAAGCUUACAGCACCUGGUAUUCCCAGGCGGUCUCCCAUCCAAGUACUAACCAGGCCCGACCCUGCUUAGCUUCCGAGAUCGGACGAGAUCGGGCGUGUUCAGGGUGGUAUGGCCGUAAGCGAUGACACAGGCUCCAAAUGAGCUAUUUGAACAUGCUCCUGUGUGCUUCUCUCAAUUAGAAUCAGCAUUUCACUUUCAGUGAACAAUGCGGCGCUCAAGAAAACACCCGGAUACGCAGUCAAGCUUAGUUUUACAGCCUAUCUCUGCAGUCCAUCAUGCUCCACUCCUUUGCUCCACUUUAGGACAAGAUCUCAGUCCUCCCGCUCUUUGUGCUUUUCGACUUUUUCUUUCAUUUUAUGUUCAGCCUAAUCUCCAAGUGCACUUGCAUUUGUCCAAGCAAAAGACCAGGCUCCCCAUAGACCGAUAUCCUAGCCUCUUGGAGAGAGAACACGGCAAAAAGAUGCAAGAAAAGAAGAGAAAAGCUUACAGCACCUGGUAUUCCCAGGCGGUCUCCCAUCCAAGUACUAACCAGGCCCGACCCUGCUUAGCUUCCGAGAUCGGACGAGAUCGGGCGUGUUCAGGGUGGUAUGGCCGUAAGCGAUGACACAGGCUCCAAAUGAGCUAUUUGAACUUGCUCCUGUGUGCUUCUCUCAAUUAGAAUCAGCAUUUCACUUUCAGUGAACAAUGCGGCGCUCAAGAAAACACCCGGAUACGCAGUCAAGCUUAGUUUUACAGCCUAUCUCUGCAGUCCAUCAUGCUCCACUCCUUUGCUCCACUUUAGGACAAGAUCUCAGUCCUCCCGCUCUUUGUGCUUUUCGACUUUUUCUUUCAUUUUAUGUUCAGCCUAAUCUCCAAGUGCACUUGCAUUUGUCCAAGCAAAAGACCAGGCUCCCCAAAGACCGAUAUCCUAGCCUCUUGGAGAGAGAACACGGCAAAAAGAUGCAAGAAAAGAAGAGAAAAGCUUACAGCACCUGGUAUUCCCAGGCGGUCUCCCAUCCAAGUACUAACCAGGCCCGACCCUGCUUAGCUUCCGAGAUCGGACGAGAUCGGGCGUGUUCAGGGUGGUAUGGCCGUAAGCGAUGACACAGGCUCCAAAUGAGCUAUUUGAACAUGCUCCUGUGUGCUUCUCUCAAUUAGAAUCAGCAUUUCACUUUCAGUGAACAAUGCGGCGCUCAAGAAAACACCCGGAUACGCAGUCAAGCUUAGUUUUACAGCCUAUCUCUGCAGUCCAUCAUGCUCCACUCCUUUGCUCCACUUUAGGACAAGAUCUCAGUCCUCCCGCUCUUUGUGCUUUUUGACUUUUUCUUUCAUUUUAUGUUCAGCCUAAUCUCCAAGUGCACUUGCAUUUGUCCAAGCAAAAGACCAGGCUCCCCAAAGACCGAUAUCCUAGCCUCUUGGAGAGAGAACACGGCAAAAAGAUGCAAGAAAAGAAGAGAAAAGCUUACAGCACCUGGUAUUCCCAGGCGGUCUCCCAUCCAAGUACUAACCAGGCCCGACCCUGCUUAGCUUCCGAGAUCAGGCGUGUUCAGGGUGGUAUGGCCGUAAGCGAUGACACAGGCUCCAAAUGAGCUAUUUGAACAUGCUCCUGUGUGCUUCUCUCAAUUAGAAUCAGCAUUUCACUUUCAGUGAACAAUGCGGCGCUCAAGAAAACACCCGGAUACGCAGUCAAGCUUAGUUUUGCAGCCUAUCUCUGCAGUCCAUCAUGCUCCACUCCUUUGCUCCACUUUAGGACAAGAUCUCAGUCCUCCCGCUCUUUGUGCUUUUUGACUUUUUCUUUCAUUUUAUGUUCAGCCUAAUCUCCAAGUGCACUUGCAUUUGUCCAAGCAAAAGACCAGGCUCCCCAAAGACCGAUAUCCUAGCCUCUUGGAGAGAGAACACGGCAAAAAGAUGCAAGAAAAGAAGAGAAAAGCUUACAGCACCUGGUAUUCCCAGGCGGUCUCCCAUCCAAGUACUAACCAGGCCCGACCCUGCUUAGCUUCCGAGAUCGGACGAGAUCGGGCGUGUUCAGGGUGGUAUGGCCGUAAGCGAUGACACAGGCUCCAAAUGAGCUAUUUGAACAUGCUCCUGUGUGCUUCUCUCAAUUAGAAUCAGCAUUUCACUUUCAGUGAACAAUGCGGCGCUCAAGAAAACACCCGGAUACGCAGUCAAGCUUAGUUUUACAGCCUAUCUCUGCAGUCCAUCAUGCUCCACUCCUUUGCUCCACUUUAGGACAAGAUCUCAGUCCUCCCGCUCUUUGUGCUUUUUGACUUUUUCUUUCAUUUUAUGUUCAGCCUAAUCUCCAAGUGCACUUGCAUUUGUCCAAGCAAAAGACCAGGCUCCCCAAAGACCGAUAUCCUAGCCUCUUGGAGAGAGAACACGGCAAAAAGAUGCAAGAAAAGAAGAGAAAAGCUUACAGCACCUGGUAUUCCCAGGCGGUCUCCCAUCCAAGUACUAACCAGGCCCGACCCUGCUUAGCUUCCGAGAUCGGACGAGAUCGGGCGUGUUCAGGGUGGUAUGGCCGUAAGCGAUGACACAGGCUCCAAAUGAGCUAUUUGAACAUGCUCCUGUGUGCUUCUCUCAAUUAGAAUCAGCAUUUCACUUUCAGUGAACAAUGCGGCGCUCAAGAAAACACCCGGAUACGCAGUCAAGCUUAGUUUUACAGCCUAUCUCUGCAGUCCAUCAUGCUCCACUCCUUUGCUCCACUUUAGGACAAGAUCUCAGUCCUCCCGCUCUUUGUGCUUUUUGACUUUUUCUUUCAUUUUAUGUUCAGCCUAAUCUCCAAGUGCACUUGCAUUUGUCCAAGCAAAAGACCAGGCUCCCCAAAGACCGAUAUCCUAGCCUCUUGGAGAGAGAACACGGCAAAAAGAUGCAAGAAAAGAAGAGAAAAGCUUACAGCACCUGGUAUUCCCAGGCGGUCUCCCAUCCAAGUACUAACCAGGCCCGACCCUGCUUAGCUUCCGAGAUCGGACGAGAUCGGGCGUGUUCAGGGUGGUAUGGCCGUAAGCGAUGACACAGGCUCCAAAUGAGCUAUUUGAACAUGCUCCUGUGUGCUUCUCUCAAUUAGAAUCAGCAUUUCACUUUCAGUGAACAAUGCGGCGCUCAAGAAAACACCCGGAUACGCAGUCAAGCUUAGUUUUACAGCCUAUCUCUGCAGUCCAUCAUGCUCCACUCCUUUGCUCCACUUUAGGACAAGAUCUCAGUCCUCCCGCUCUUUGUGCUUUUCGACUUUUUCUUUCAUUUUAUGUUCAGCCUAAUCUCCAAGUGCACUUGCAUUUGUCCAAGCAAAAGACCAGGCUCCCCAAAGACCGAUAUCCUAGCCUCUUGGAGAGAGAACACGGCAAAAAGAUGCAAGAAAAGAAGAGAAAAGCUUACAGCACCUGGUAUUCCCAGGCGGUCUCCCAUCCAAGUACUAACCAGGCCCGACCCUGCUUAGCUUCCGAGAUCGGACGAGAUCGGGCGUGUUCAGGGUGGUAUGGCCGUAAGCGAUGACACAGGCUCCAAAUGAGCUAUUUGAACAUGCUCCUGUGUGCUUCUCUCAAUUAGAAUCAGCAUUUCACUUUCAGUGAACAAUGCGGCGCUCAAGAAAACACCCGGAUACGCAGUCAAGCUUAGUUUUACAGCCUAUCUCUGCAGUCCAUCAUGCUCCACUCCUUUGCUCCACUUUAGGACAAGAUCUCAGUCCUCCCGCUCUUUGUGCUUUUUGACUUUUUCUUUCAUUUUAUGUUCAGCCUAAUCUCCAAGUGCACUUGCAUUUGUCCAAGCAAAAGACCAGGCUCCCCAAAGACCGAUAUCCUAGCCUCUUGGAGAGAGAACACGGCAAAAAGAUGCAAGAAAAGAAGAGAAAAGCUUACAGCACCUGGUAUUCCCAGGCGGUCUCCCAUCCAAGUACUAACCAGGCCCGACCCUGCUUAGCUUCCGAGAUCGGACGAGAUCGGGCGUGUUCAGGGUGGUAUGGCCGUAAGCGAUGACACAGGCUCCAAAUGAGCUAUUUGAACAUGCUCCUGUGUGCUUCUCUCAAUUAGAAUCAGCAUUUCACUUUCAGUGAACAAUGCGGCGCUCAAGAAAACACCCGGAUACGCAGUCAAGCUUAGUUUUACAGCCUAUCUCUGCAGUCCAUCAUGCUCCACUCCUUUGCUCCACUUUAGGACAAGAUCUCAGUCCUCCCGCUCUUUGUGCUUUUCGACUUUUUCUUUCAUUUUAUGUUCAGCCUAAUCUCCAAGUGCACUUGCAUUUGUCCAAGCAAAAGACCAGGCUCCCCAAAGACCGAUAUCCUAGCCUCUUGGAGAGAGAACACGGCAAAAAGAUGCAAGAAAAGAAGAGAAAAGCUUACAGCACCUGGUAUUCCCAGGCGGUCUCCCAUCCAAGUACUAACCAGGCCCGACCCUGCUUAGCUUCCGAGAUCGGACGAGAUCGGGCGUGUUCAGGGUGGUAUGGCCGUAAGCGAUGACACAGGCUCCAAAUGAGCUAUUUGAACAUGCUCCUGUGUGCUUCUCUCAAUUAGAAUCAGCAUUUCACUUUCAGUGAACAAUGCGGCGCUCAAGAAAACACCCGGAUACGCAGUCAAGCUUAGUUUUACAGCCUAUCUCUGCAGUCCAUCAUGCUCCACUCCUUUGCUCCACUUUAGGACAAGAUCUCAGUCCUCCCGCUCUUUGUGCUUUUUGACUUUUUCUUUCAUUUUAUGUUCAGCCUAAUCUCCAAGUGCACUUGCAUUUGUCCAAGCAAAAGACCAGGCUCCCCAAAGACCGAUAUCCUAGCCUCUUGGAGAGAGAACACGGCAAAAAGAUGCAAGAAAAGAAGAGAAAAGCUUACAGCACCUGGUAUUCCCAGGCGGUCUCCCAUCCAAGUACUAACCAGGCCCGACCCUGCUUAGCUUCCGAGAUCGGACGAGAUCGGGCGUGUUCAGGGUGGUAUGGCCGUAAGCGAUGACACAGGCUCCAAAUGAGCUAUUUGAACAUGCUCCUGUGUGCUUCUCUCAAUUAGAAUCAGCAUUUCACUUUCAGUGAACAAUGCGGCGCUCAAGAAAACACCCGGAUACGCAGUCAAGCUUAGUUUUACAGCCUAUCUCUGCAGUCCAACAUGCUCCACUCCUUUGCUCCACUUUAGGACAAGAUCUCAGUCCUCCCGCUCUUUGUGCUUUUUGACUUUUUCUUUCAUUUUAUGUUCAGCCUAAUCUCCAAGUGCACUUGCAUUUGUCCAAGCAAAAGACCAGGCUCCCCAAAGACCGAUAUCCUAGCCUCUUGGAGAGAGAACACGGCAAAAAGAUGCAAGAAAAGAAGAGAAAAGCUUACAGCACCUGGUAUUCCCAGGCGGUCUCCCAUCCAAGUACUAACCAGGCCCGACCCUGCUUAGCUUCCGAGAUCGGACGAGAUCGGGCGUGUUCAGGGUGGUAUGGCCGUAAGCGAUGACACAGGCUCCAAAUGAGCUAUUUGAACAUGCUCCUGUGUGCUUCUCUCAAUUAGAAUCAGCAUUUCACUUUCAGUGAACAAUGCGGCGCUCAAGAAAACACCCGGAUACGCAGUCAAGCUUAGUUUUACAGCCUAUCUCUGCAGUCCAUCAUGCUCCACUCCUUUGCUCCACUUUAGGACAAGAUCUCAGUCCUCCCGCUCUUUGUGCUUUUCGACUUUUUCUUUCAUUUUAUGUUCAGCCUAAUCUCCAAGUGCACUUGCAUUUGUCCAAGCAAAAGACCAGGCUCCCCAAAGACCGAUAUCCUAGCCUCUUGGAGAGAGAACACGGCAAAAAGAUGCAAGAAAAGAAGAGAAAAGCUUACAGCACCUGGUAUUCCCAGGCGGUCUCCCAUCCAAGUACUAACCAGGCCCGACCCUGCUUAGCUUCCGAGAUCAGACGAGAUCGGGCGUGUUCAGGGUGGUAUGGCCGUAAGCGAUGACACAGGCUCCAAAUGAGCUAUUUGAACAUGCUCCUGUGUGCUUCUCUCAAUUAGAAUCAGCAUUUCACUUUCAGUGAACAAUGCGGCGCUCAAGAAAACACCCGGAUACGCAGUCAAGCUUAGUUUUACAGCCUAUCUCUGCAGUCCAACAUGCUCCACUCCUUUGCUCCACUUUAGGACAAGAUCUCAGUCCUCCCGCUCUUUGUGCUUUUUGACUUUUUCUUUCAUUUUAUGUUCAGCCUAAUCUCCAAGUGCACUUGCAUUUGUCCAAGCAAAAGACCAGGCUCCCCAAAGACCGAUAUCCUAGCCUCUUGGAGAGAGAACACGGCAAAAAGAUGCAAGAAAAGAAGAGAAAAGCUUACAGCACCUGGUAUUCCCAGGCGGUCUCCCAUCCAAGUACUAACCAGGCCCGACCCUGCUUAGCUUCCGAGAUCGGACGAGAUCGGGCGUGUUCAGGGUGGUAUGGCCGUAAGCGAUGACACAGGCUCCAAAUGAGCUAUUUGAACAUGCUCCUGUGUGCUUCUCUCAAUUAGAAUCAGCAUUUCACUUUCAGUGAACAAUGCGGCGCUCAAGAAAACACCCGGAUACGCAGUCAAGCUUAGUUUUACAGCCUAUCUCUGCAGUCCAUCAUGCUCCACUCCUUUGCUCCUCUUUAGGACAAGAUCUCAGUCCUCCCGCUCUUUGUGCUUUUCGACUUUUUCUUUCAUUUUAUGUUCAGCCUAAUCUCCAAGUGCACUUGCAUUUGUCCAAGCAAAAGACCAGGCUCCCCAAAGACCGAUAUCCUAGCCUCUUGGAGAGAGAACACGGCAAAAAGAUGCAAGAAAAGAAGAGAAAAGCUUACAGCACCUGGUAUUCCCAGGCGGUCUCCCAUCCAAGUACUAACCAGGCCCGACCCUGCUUAGCUUCCGAGAUCGGACGAGAUCGGGCGUGUUCAGGGUGGUAUGGCCGUAAGCGAUGACACAGGCUCCAAAUGAGCUAUUUGAACAUGCUCCUGUGUGCUUCUCUCAAUUAGAAUCAGCAUUUCACUUUCAGUGAACAAUGCGGCGCUCAAGAAAACACCCGGAUACGCAGUCAAGCUUAGUUUUACAGCCUAUCUCUGCAGUCCAUCAUGCUCCACUCCUUUGCUCCACUUUAGGACAAGAUCUCAGUCCUCCCGCUCUUUGUGCUUUUUGACUUUUUCUUUCAUUUUAUGUUCAGCCUAAUCUCCAAGUGUACUUGCAUUUGUCCAAGCAAAAGACCAGGCUCCCCAAAGACCGAUAUCCUAGCCUCUUGGAGAGAGAACACGGCAAAAAGAUGCAAGAAAAGAAGAGAAAAGCUUACAGCACCUGGUAUUCCCAGGCGGUCUCCCAUCCAAGUACUAACCAGGCCCGACCCUGCUUAGCUUCCGAGAUCAGACGAGAUCGGGCGUGUUCAGGGUGGUAUGGCCGUAAGCGAUGACACAGGCUCCAAAUGAGCUAUUUGAACAUGCUCCUGUGUGCUUCUCUCAAUUAGAAUCAGCAUUUCACUUUCAGUGAACAAUGCGGCGCUCAAGAAAACACCCGGAUACGCAGUCAAGCUUAGUUUUACAGCCUAUCUCUGCAGUCCAUCAUGCUCCACUCCUUUGCUCCACUUUAGGACAAGAUCUCAGUCCUCCCGCUCUUUGUGCUUUUUGACUUUUUCUUUCAUUUUAUGUUCAGCCUAAUCUCCAAGUGCACUUGCAUUUGUCCAAGCAAAAGACCAGGCUCCCCAAAGACCGAUAUCCUAGCCUCUUGGAGAGAGAACACGGCAAAAAGAUGCAAGAAAAGAAGAGAAAAGCUUACAGCACCUGGUAUUCCCAGGCGGUCUCCCAUCCAAGUACUAACCAGGCCCGACCCUGCUUAGCUUCCGAGAUCGGACGAGAUCGGGCGUGUUCAGGGUGGUAUGGCCGUAAGCGAUGACACAGGCUCCAAAUGAGCUAUUUGAACAUGCUCCUGUGUGCUUCUCUCAAUUAGAAUCAGCAUUUCACUUUCAGUGAACAAUGCGGCGCUCAAGAAAACACCCGGAUACGCAGUCAAGCUUAGUUUUACAGCCUAUCUCUGCAGUCCAUCAUGCUCCACUCCUUUGCUCCACUUUAGGACAAGAUCUCAGUCCUCCCGCUCUUUGUGCUUUUCGACUUUUUCUUUCAUUUUAUGUUCAGCCUAAUCUCCAAGUGCACUUGCAUUUGUCCAAGCAAAAGACCAGGCUCCCCAAAGACCGAUAUCCUAGCCUCUUGGAGAGAGAACACGGCAAAAAGAUGCAAGAAAAGAAGAGAAAAGCUUACAGCACCUGGUAUUCCCAGGCGGUCUCCCAUCCAAGUACUAACCAGGCCCGACCCUGCUUAGCUUCCGAGAUCAGGCGUGUUCAGGGUGGUAUGGCCGUAAGCGAUGACACAGGCUCCAAAUGAGCUAUUUGAACAUGCUCCUGUGUGCUUCUCUCAAUUAGAAUCAGCAUUUCACUUUCAGUGAACAAUGCGGCGCUCAAGAAAACACCCGGAUACGCAGUCAAGCUUAGUUUUACAGCCUAUCUCUGCAGUCCAUCAUGCUCCACUCCUUUGCUCCACUUUAGAACAAGAUCUCAGUCCUCCCGCUCUUUGUGCUUUUCGACUUUUUCUUUCAUUUUAUGUUCAGCCUAAUCUCCAAGUGUACUUGCAUUUGUCCAAGCAAAAGACCAGGCUCCCCAAAGACCGAUAUCCUAGCCUCUUGGAGAGAGAACACGGCAAAAAGAUGCAAGAAAAGAAGAGAAAAGCUUACAGCACCUGGUAUUCCCAGGCGGUCUCCCAUCCAAGUACUAACCAGGCCCGACCCUGCUUAGCUUCCGAGAUCGGACGAGAUCGGGCGUGUUCAGGGUGGUAUGGCCGUAAGCGAUGACACAGGCUCCAAAUGAGCUAUUUGAACUUGCUCCUGUGUGCUUCUCUCAAUUAGAAUCAGCAUUUCACUUUCAGUGAACAAUGCGGCGCUCAAGAAAACACCCGGAUACGCAGUCAAGCUUAGUUUUACAGCCUAUCUCUGCAGUCCAUCAUGCUCCACUCCUUUGCUCCACUUUAGAACAAGAUCUCAGUCCUCCCGCUCUUUGUGCUUUUUGACUUUUUCUUUCAUUUUAUGUUCAGCCUAAUCUCCAAGUGUACUUGCAUUUGUCCAAGCAAAAGACCAGGCUCCCCAAAGACCGAUAUCCUAGCCUCUUGGAGAGAGAACACGGCAAAAAGAUGCAAGAAAAGAAGAGAAAAGCUUACAGCACCUGGUAUUCCCAGGCGGUCUCCCAUCCAAGUACUAACCAGGCCCGACCCUGCUUAGCUUCCGAGAUCAGGCGUGUUCAGGGUGGUAUGGCCGUAAGCGAUGACACAGGCUCCAAAUGAGCUAUUUGAACAUGCUCCUGUGUGCUUCUCUCAAUUAGAAUCAGCAUUUCACUUUCAGUGAACAAUGCGGCGCUCAAGAAAACACCCGGAUACGCAGUCAAGCUUAGUUUUACAGCCUAUCUCUGCAGUCCAUCAUGCUCCACUCCUUUGCUCCACUUUAGAACAAGAUCUCAGUCCUCCCGCUCUUUGUGCUUUUCGACUUUUUCUUUCAUUUUAUGUUCAGCCUAAUCUCCAAGUGCACUUGCAUUUGUCCAAGCAAAAGACCAGGCUCCCCAAAGACCGAUAUCCUAGCCUCUUGGAGAGAGAACACGGCAAAAAGAUGCAAGAAAAGAAGAGAAAAGCUUACAGCACCUGGUAUUCCCAGGCGGUCUCCCAUCCAAGUACUAACCAGGCCCGACCCUGCUUAGAUCCGAGAUCGGACGAGAUCGGGCGUGUUCAGGGUGGUAUGGCCGUAAGCGAUGACACAGGCUCCAAAUGAGCUAUUUGAACAUGCUCCUGUGUGCUUCUCUCAAUUAGAAUCAGCAUUUCACUUUCAGUGAACAAUGCAGCGCUCAAGAAAACACCCGGAUACGCAGUCAAGCUUAGUUUUACAGCCUAUCUCUGCAGUCCAUCAUGCUCCACUCCUUUGCUCCACUUUAGAACAAGAUCUCAGUCCUCCCGCUCUUUGUGCUUUUUGACUUUUUCUUUCAUUUUAUGUUCAGCCUAAUCUCCAAGUGUACUUGCAUUUGUCCAAGCAAAAGACCAGGCUCCCCAAAGACCGAUAUCCUAGCCUCUUGGAGAGAGAACACGGCAAAAAGAUGCAAGAAAAGAAGAGAAAAGCUUACAGCACCUGGUAUUCCCAGGCGGUCUCCCAUCCAAGUACUAACCAGGCCCGACCCUGCUUAGCUUCCGAGAUCGGACGAGAUCGGGCGUGUUCAGGGUGGUAUGGCCGUAAGCGAUGACACAGGCUCCAAAUGAGCUAUUUGAACAUGCUCCUGUGUGCUUCUCUCAAUUAGAAUCAGCAUUUCACUUUCAGUGAACAAUGCGGCGCUCAAGAAAACACCCGGAUACGCAGUCAAGCUUAGUUUUACAGCCUAUCUCUGCAGUCCAUCAUGCUCCACUCCUUUGCUCCAUUUUAGGACAAGAUCUCAGUCCUCCCGCUCUUUGUGCUUUUUGACUUUUUCUUUCAUUUUAUGUUCAGCCUAAUCUCCAAGUGCACUUGCAUUUGUCCAAGCAAAAGACCAGGCUCCCCAAAGACCGAUAUCCUA